rnacentral:rRNA from 1 species
UACGAAGGGGGCUAGCGUUGCUCGGAAUUACUGGGCGUAAAGCGCACGUAGGCGGAUUGUUAAGUCGGGGGUGAAAUCCUGGAGCUCAACUCCAGAACUGCCUUCGAUACUGGCGAUCUCGAGUUUGGGAGAGGUGAGUGGAACUGCGAGUGUAGAGGUGAAAUUCGUAGAUAUUCGCAAGAACACCAGUGGCGAAGGCGGCUCACUGGCCCGAUACUGACGCUGAGGCACGAAAGCGUGGGGAGCAAACCGG